rnacentral:rRNA from 1 species
UUACGGGAGGCAGCAGUGGGGAAUAUUGGACAAUGGGCGCAAGCCUGAUCCAGCCAUGCCGCGUGUGUGAAGAAGGCCUUCGGGUUGUAAAGCACUUUUGUUCGGGAAGAAAAGCACUGGGUUAAUACCCUGGUGUUCUGACGGUACCGAAAGAAUAAGCACCGGCUAACUUCGUGCCAGCAGCCGCGGUAAUACGAAGGGUGCAAGCGUUACUCGGAAUUACUGGGCGUAAAGCGUGCGUAGGUGGUGAGUUAAGUCUGUCGUGAAAGCCCCGGGCUCAACCUGGGAAUGGCGAUGGAUACUGGCUCGCUAGAGUGCGGUAGAGGAGAGUGGAAUUCCCGGUGUAGCAGUGAAAUGCGUAGAGAUCGGGAGGAACAUCAGUUGCGAAGGCGGCUCUCUGGACCAGCACUGACACUGAGGCACGAAAGCGUGGGGAGCAAACAGGAUUAGAUACCCCGGUAGU